GUGCACCAGUCGAGAAUCUUCCACAAUGGACGAAAGUCUGAUGGAGCGACGCCGCGUGCGGGAUGAAGGCCUUAUGGGUUGUAAACCGCUGUCAGGGGGGAAGAACAUCGGAAUGAACAAUACUCAUUCCGACUGACGUUACCCCCAGAGGAAGCUCCGGCCAACUCCGUGCCAGCAGCCGCGGUAAUACGGGGGGAGCAAGCGUUGUCCGGAAUUAUUGGGCGUAAAGGGCGUGUAGGCGGCGAGGUAAGUCGAAUGUGAAAUCUCACGGCUCAACCGUGAAACUGCGUUCGAAACUACCCUGCUUGAGUACGGGAGAGGUGUACGGAAUUCCUGGUGUAGCGGUGGAAUGG
rnacentral:rRNA from 1 species